rnacentral:rRNA from 1 species
AUUGAACGCUGGCGGCAUGCCUUACACAUGCAAGUCGAACGGUAACAGAUCUUCGGAUGCUGACGAGUGGCGAACGGGUGAGUAAUACAUCGGAACGUGCCUAGUAGUGGGGGAUAACUACUCGAAAGAGUGGCUAAUACCGCAUGAGAUCUACGGAUGAAAGCAGGGGAUCGCAAGACCUUGUGCUACUAGAGCGGCCGAUGGCAGAUUAGGUAGUUGGUGGGAUAAAAGCUUACCAAGCCGACGAUCUGUAGCUGGUCUGAGAGGACGAUCAGCCACACUGGGACUGAGACACGGCCCAGACUCCUACGGGAGGCAGCAGUGGGGAAUUUUGGACAACGGGCGCAAGCCUGAUCCAGCAAUGCCGCGUGCAGGAUGAAGGCCUUCGGGUUGUAAACUGCUUUUGUACCGGAAUAAACCGCUGUUUGCGAACAGCGCUGAAUGUACGGUAAGAAUAAGGAUCGGCUAACUCCGUGCCAGCAGCCGCGUAACAC